rnacentral:rRNA from 1 species
AGUGGCGGACGGGUGAGUAACGCGUGAGAAUCUGCCUUGGGGUCGGGGACAACCACUGGAAACGGUGGCUAAUACCGGAUAAGCCGAUUGGUGAAAGAUUUAUUGCCCGAAGAGGAGCUCGCGUCUGAUUAGCUAGUUGGUGAGGUAAGAGCUCACCAAGGCAGCGAUCAGUAGCUGGUCUGAGAGGACGAUCAGCCACACUGGGACUGAGACACGGCCCAGACUCCUACGGGAGGCAGCAGUGGGGAAUUUUCCGCAAUGGGCGAAAGCCUGACGGAGCAAGACCGCGUGAGGGAGGAAGGCUCUUGGGUUGUAAACCUCUUUUCUCAGGGAAGAAGCUCUGACGGUACCUGAGGAAUCAGCCUCGGCUAACUCCGUGCCAGCAGCCGCGUUAAUACGGAGGAGGCAAGCGUUAUCCGGAAUUAUUGGGCGUAAAGCGUCCGCAGGUGGCGAUUCAAGUCUGCUGUCAAAGCACGGGGCUUAACUCCGUAAAGGCAGUGGAAACUGAAUAGCUAGAGUGCCGUAGGGGUAGAGGGAAUUCCCGGUGUAGCGGUGAAAUGCGUAGAGAUCGGGAAGAACAUCGGUGGCGAAAGCGCUCUACUGGACGGCAACUGACACUCAGGGACGAAAGCUAGGGGAGCGAAUGGGAUUAGAUACCCC